UUAGCUAGUUGGUGAGGUAACGGCCCACCAAGGCGACGAUGGGUAGCCGGCCUGAGAGGGUGAACGGCCACACUGGGACUGAGACACGGCCCAGACUCCUACGGGAGGCAGCAGUAGGGAAUAUUGCGCAAUGGAGGGAACUCUGACGCAGCGACGCCGCGUGAGCGAUGAAGGUUUUCGGAUCGUAAAGCUCUGUCCUUGGGGAAGAAGGCGGCCAUUUUUGGCCACUUGACGGUACCCAAGGAGGAAGCCCCGGCUAACUACGUGCCAGCAGCCGCGGUAAUACGUAGGGGGCAAGCGUUGUCCGGAAUUAUUGGGCGUAAAGGGUGCGUAGGCGGCCUUUUAAGUCAGAUGUGAAAGACCACGGCUUAACCGUGGGGUUGCAUUUGAAACUGGAGGGCUUGAGUAUCGGAGAGGGUAGUGGAAUUCCCAGUGUAGCGGUGGAAUGCGUAGAUAUUGGGAGGAACACCAGUGGCGAAGGCGACUACCUGGACGAAAACUGACGCUGAGGCACGAAAGCUAGGGGAGCAAACAGGAUUAGAUACCCUGGUAGUCCUAGCCGUAAACGAUGGGUACUAGGUGUAGGAGGUUUCGAUACCUUCUGUGCCGCAGUUAAC
rnacentral:rRNA from 1 species